rnacentral:lncRNA from 1 species
GUUGAUUUAUUCCUUUACUUUGCUGCUUUGCAGGAGUUUUCAACGCUUGCAAAAGAGCUCAACAUUUGCAGGGAACAGCUGCUUGAGAAGGAAAAAGAAAUUGCUGAGCUGAAAGCAGAAAGGAACAACAUGAGGCUGUUCCUGGAACAUCUGGAGUUCCUUGUCUCCAGGCAUGAACGCUCUCUCGAAACGACUGUGAUGAAGCGGCAGGCGCGGUGUCCUGCAGGUGUGUCCACAGAGAUGGAAGUGCUAAAAGCACUGACAUUCUUAUUUGACCACCACAAGACCCUGGACGAAGAGGUGCGAGAGCAAUUACGUGUAGCACUGCAAAGGUGCAGCUUGCUGGAAGAGGAACUGGGCGCCACGCACAAGGAGGUAAUUGUGGGACAUCAUCCUAGCCCUGAAAAGGGAAAAUUAUUUUAUUUUAAUCUCUUAAAAAACAGUGUGAAGCCUGUAAUACUAUUGGAUUAGAUUUUUAUUUCAGAUUGCAAGAAUCUCUAAAUUUGUUGUCAAGCAGUCAGUACAUUCUGUUUCUAGUAAUCUGGUUCUGCUAUGGAUGGUCAGCUUUGGCAUGUACUGUCUUUUUUAUACUAUGUUCAGCACUGUAGAAUUAUGUUUUUCCAAAUGGAAUUUUGCUGUCUUUACUCAUUACUCUUCCAUAAGUUAUUGUAGUCUCAUACUCAGUUUUCGAUUGUAGCUAAUGACUCUUAAAAAACAGAAUAAUGAGAAAAAAUCACCAAGAGAUGGAGUGCUUGACCAUGAACAAGAAGAAACACCAAGCACUAAUGGAAAGGUAAGUCCUUGAGAUCUCUCUUUGUUCUGUUGCUGAUUUCUUAUAUUUUGUGGUUCGUGUGUGAUGCUGUUUGGAUGCUGUUGCUGGAAUGGCCUGCUUCCAGCUAAAGUGAUUGUUGAGAGUCCUAUCAUCCAACAGAUGGCAUAAAUCCAUUUUGAUAGUCCCUAUGUUCAAAAGUAUUUUAUUUGGUAGUACACUAAGGUUAUUUAAGAGUGUCCAUUUUACCCAUCAGAGAUCUUCUGCUGGCUCCUUAAGCCAUGAGGAAGACCUUGCCAAAAUAAUUGUGCUCCAAGAAGUCAUACACAAACAUUCAAAAGAGCAGAGUCAGAUGAAGGAGCUCCUGGCUGCACUUUCCAGCCAUGUGUCAGAGCUGCAAGAAAAUCUUG